rnacentral:tRNA from 1 species
GUGGGUGUAGCUCAGUUGGUUAGAGCACCUGAUUGUGGUUCAGGAGGUCGCGGGUUCAAAUCCCGUCACUCACCCCA